rnacentral:rRNA from 1 species
UACGGGGGGGGCAAGCGUUGUUCGGAAUUACUGGGCGUAAAGGGCUCGUAGGCGGCCAACUAAGUCAGACGUGAAAUCCCUCGGCUUAACCGGGGAACUGCGUCUGAUACUGGAUGGCUUGAGGGCUUGAGAGGGACGCGGAAUUCCAGGUGGAGCGGUGAAAUGCGUAGAGAUCUGGAAGAACACCAAAGGCGAAGGCAGCGUCCUGGCGAGUCACUGACGCUCAGGUGCGAAAGCUAGGGGAGCGAACGGG